ensembl:lncRNA
UAUAUGCAUGUAUGUGCCUUUAAAGGUAUCUCAGGUUGGUGUCUGAGAGUAUCAACACUUGUACAGUCCUAUGGAGAUGUAAACAUGUGAAUGCACUGCAUUUGAGCUGUGACCCUUCAACAGACAUUAAAAUAGAAAACAUCUGUAGGAGGAAGAAGAGUAUGAGUACAAACAUAUUUCCAAAGAAGUUCUUCCAUUUACACAUACAUUAUUCAUUCUUGUGAACUCUUCUUUGCUCUUCUUGUUCUUAACUGCCCCUCGGACACAACUGGCACGCAGUUUUGUUCACGUGACUGAGCACUCAGAUCCACUGCUGUCAAUCGGUUCUACGUGUUUUCCAAAUUCCUCCCACUGUUUAGUGAUGAUGCAAAGGGAGCGUUCUGUGCCAGUUCUGUGACGACUGCAGGACAGUAUCAGCCUACAAGUAGAUGAGCAAACAACACGAGGUGCAGGAGCUGUACAAGCCUCAGCUGGAGAAGAGGAUAAGUAUGAGUUAUAUUUGGCCAGGAAUUGGUUUUUAAUGUCAGGGGAUACAGUGAACUUUGCAUGCCUGAGGAGGAAUCAAGAACAACUCCUUGUUCUGGCGCAUACGAUUGGAGGGUGGGAUCCAGGUCACGGAAAUCAGAUGCUGUUUGUAUUAGAAUUUCAGGUGGAACGAGAAGUUGGAAAAAUUAUACGUAAAUAGGACUGAACAUAUUUUGCCAUAUGACCAAAAGGCAAAAGUGUUUAACUAGGACUGUACAUUUUGAAAGCAAAACUAAGCAAAAGACUGAUGUACCCAGAGAAGUUUUCCCACUGAGAAAUACGACAUCUCUGACAUAUGAAAUAUCUGACAGCGUUUCAAAUGUUGUUCUCAUUACUCUGAAAGCGUGAAGACAAUACUGUUACAAACGAGAAAUUCCAACAUACCUUCUCACAGCUUCAGAUGAAUAUCUGUAGAGCAAAGAAGUGUCCUUAUUCACACUGAAUUCAGUUUCACAUCCACUGAAGUCAGCAUGAACGUGACAGUUGAUCAGGUCUCCAGUAUCUUAAAUGCAUCCUCAGUAUUCCUUUUAUGAUCUUCGUCUGUUUAUUGGACGUUUUUACUUAUGAAACACUGGAAGACUUCCUCACUAAUCAGAACGUUACAAGAUGAACUGUAAGAAACAAUCCGAAAGAAGCUGAUCAAACGGCUCCUUGCAUCUUUUCCAUAGCUUAUUUAUACUUUUGGAUACCAGUUCUGCCUCUUGUUGAUUCCAUUUGUGUUGCAAGAUGCAGACCUGCUUGAGGAAUGUGAGGCCUGAAAAGAAAAGUGUACUUUAAACUAUCUAUGCUUAAAAGCUGAACUGUAAGACCACAGUAAGAUAUAAUGGAAGAGUGAUUGUCCCGCUGUCAUGCCACAGUGCCUGUUAUGGAGGGACUUCUACAAAAGCACCUGGUGACACCUCUGUCCAUCUGAUGAAGGCUACGGGCCUAGCCAGAUUUUGGGUACCCUUCCAGCAGAUACUCUCACGUUCUUUUUUUCCCCGCAAUUUAACGUGUCCCAUGACGAUUCCCCUUUCAUGAUUACAAACAAUGUGCAUUUGGUAAAGACCUUUACACUUGAGGAGGUGAGACGUCAGUAUUUGCUUUUUACUCCAACUACUUCUUCAGUUUUCAAACUGAUAUAGAAUAUGAAUAAACUGAUUAA